GAGAGAGAGAGAGAGAGAGAGAGUGAUGAGUCCUCUACUAGCUACCUGUAGGAGUCGCUUGUAGGCUUGUAGCCAAAGCGGCACCUCUGUAGCACACAUACGCUGCUUCUCUUCGGGAAUGGCGUCGCUCACUCUCUCACCUCUGCAGCUCUCACAGCGACCGAGUAGUAGUAGCAGUAGUAGUAGUAGAGAGAGAGAGCGAAGCACAAGCCACUCAACGAACCCAUUAUAGGAGUUGUUGCCCUCUAUGUGUUCGCUCUUGGCUCCCUUAGAAACAGUAGUUGUAGUAGGAGGAGGAGGAGGAGGAGUAGGAGUUUUGGUAUUGGUAGUGUUGUAGAAGAAAGAAGGGAUUAGAAAGGAGGAUAAAGGUGCGAUCUUUUUCGAUCUGGGCACGCUUCCAUGGACGCGUGCGAGGCGACGCGGGUGGUGUUCUCGCGGAUCCAGUCGCUGGACCCGGAGCACGCGGCGAAGAUCAUGGGGCUCCUCCUCAUCCAAGACCACGGCGAGAAGGAGAUGAUCCGCUUGGCCUUCGGGCCAGAGUCCCUGCUCCACUCCGUGGUGCUCAGGGCCCGAAAAGACCUCGGCUUGAUCCACCCGCCCACUUCCUCCACCGCGCCCGGAACCCCCACUUCAGCCGGAACUCCACCUCCGCUGCCGGCGCCGGCGCCGGCGCCCUUCCUCCUCGCGCGCCAGAACUCGGCCUCGCGCCUCCCGUCCCCGCUCUCGGUGUCCUCCCCGUCGUCGUGGGCCCCGCCCCCGAUCUUCUCCAGGAGCGGGAGCGUCAACAAGGGGGUUAAUGGGUCGGUGGGAGGGGAGGAGAUGCAGAGUGGUUCCGACGAGGGCUUCAGUCCCAGCAGCGGGUGCGCGUCCCCUUUCUACGGGGGAGGCGGGGGGGAGGCGUUAAUGGAGGAGUUCCCGCUCCAGGACCAGCUCGCGUUCCUGGGCGAGCCCCCGGGGGCGAAGCCCGGCGGCGAGGUGUUCUACGGCGACGUGGGGGGCGGCGGUGGCGGGUGGGGCGAGAACGGGAGCCACCAUGUCCACCACCAUCGCCGGAGCAUCUCCGACAUAUGCCUCGGCGCCGCCGCCGCCGCGGCGGACGGGGGGUGGAAGCCCUGCUUGUACUACGCGCGCGGCUACUGCAAGAACGGGAGCAGCUGCCGCUUCGUCCACGGCCUCCCCGACGACGCCGCGGCGGCGCUCGCCGCGGGGAUGAAGAUGGACGCGGCGGUGGAGCAGCAGUGCCAGGAGCUGCUCCUGCGUUCCAAAAGCCAGAGGCUCAUCGGCGCCGCCGCCGCCGCCGCCGCGUUUCCGUACUCCCCCAUGGGUCUCAUGCCCCCGUCUCCAUCCUCUUCUCCCAAAUGCCUCAGCUUCUUUCUACAGCAGCAGCAGCAGCAGAGUGAAAGCCAAAGGGCGGCCGCAGCGGCGGCCGCAGCUGCUUUAAUGCUCGGCGGUGGCGACGACGCGCACAAGUUCAUGGGUCGAUCUCGAUUGGAAAGAACGGAUUUUGCUAACAUGGUGAAUCCCGGGUCGAGGCAAAUCUACUUAACCUUCCCCGCGGAUAGCACCUUCCGGGAAGAGGAUGUCUCCAACUAUUUCAGCAUAUAUGGUCCGGUGCAAGAUGUGAGGAUCCCGUAUCAACAAAAGCGGAUGUUUGGGUUCGUAACCUUCGUUUAUCCGGAGACCGUGAAGCUAAUUUUGGCAAAGGGGAAUCCCCAUUUCGUUUGUGAUGCUCGUGUUCUUGUUAAGCCAUACAAGGAGAAGGGAAAAGUCCCAGAAAAAUACAGGAAGCAACAGCAGGGCGAAAGAGGUGAUUUUUCUGGGUGUACGACCCCCACGGGAUUGGACGCUAGAGACCCAUUUGACCUUCAACAACUCGGGAACAGGAUGCUCCACAGCAACGCAACCACGGAGCUGUUACUGAGAAGGAGAUUAGAGGAGCAGCAGCAACAAGCUGUGGAGCUCCAACAAGCCAUUGAGCUACAAAGCAGGAGAUUCAUGGGACUCAACUUUUUGGACCUCAAAAACCGGAGCUUUCCCUCUCCAAACACCACCACCACCACCAACCCCACCCCGUUCAUCCCCAACAACUCAACCAUUACCACCCCCACCACCACCACUACAGCUGCUGGAAUUAGUGGUGGCCAUGAAGAGUCGUCUCCUCCACCUGAGAGAGAGAGGGGUUCCAGUGGAGAGCCGAGCGUUGAACGGGAGCGGGUGGUCAACGCAGGCGAUAAGGAGGAAUCUGGUGGUGAGGGGAGCCCCAAUGAGGAUAGCGAUUUCCAAGAGAGUGUGGAGCACAAUUUACCGGAUAGCCCCUUCGCGUCGCCCACGAAAUCGUCGCCGUUCGCGCUCGACGCGUUCACCGUCGCCGAGGAGGAAGAAGCCGCGGCCACGUCAGCUGCGGCCGCCACGUCAGCGGCCGCGGCGGCUAACGUUCUCCUCCCCUCCGCUUUGUUGCCUGCCACGUCAGCGCUCGACAUGGCCUCGUCCACCCCAUGCUUCUUCCCCAUCCCCAGGUUCUCGUCCGGUCACGGGGCCAUUGGAAUGUAAAGAUGAUGAAAAAGAAAGUCUCAUGGGAGUGAGUGGUGCCUCCCCUAAUCAUAGAAAAAUAUUAGAAGCAAGGAAAAGUUAUAGUGGAUUGUAGGAAAAGAGAAUCCCCAGCAUAGUUUCCUUAUAGUUUCUUCGCCCUUUUUUUUUUUCUCUUUUUUCUUAAAACUUGUAAGCUUUUAGAAAAAAAAGAAGAUGGUAAUUACAAAGAGGUCCUCUACUGCCUAUAUAAAACAUAAGAAAGGAGCAAAAUAUUGUAAAAUAGGUCCUCUUAGCACCUGCUACUAUAGUUCUACUACUACUACUACUACUACUACUACUACUACUAAUGGUUUCAGCAAUUAAUUAAGUUACAGCUACGACUGCUACUACUACUUCUACUAUCUACUACCAACCAGAUACUUUUAACACAUGCACGGAGUACAUAAAGGAAAACAGAUGAGAACAACAAAGGACACAGAGAGAGAGAGUGUGAGAAAGAGAGAGAGAGGAAAAGGCCAUUGAUGUGGAAAAGGAGAUUGUGCUUCACCAACAUGUUGUUGAAAGAGGAAAAGAGGAGGAAAAGGAGGAGUAAAAGAGAAAGGGUUGAAAAUUUGUGGUUGGGUUUUAAUUGUUGGCCUCUUCCUGGGUUGUCUCUUAGUUUGCAAAUGGCUUUUAGUGUUUGCUUUUGCAUCUUGUUUGAGUUGUUGUAGCUCGACAGUCGUAUAGACAGAAAGAAAAGUGAAGAAAAAUAUAUGGUAAUUACACGUGUAUUUUCCAGUAAUUAAUUAAUAUAUUGUCAUGCUUCUUUUCACUCUA